rnacentral:rRNA from 1 species
CCCUUAGACGUUCUGGGCCGCACGCGCGCUACGCUGACCGGUGCAACAAGCAUCCGUCCUUGGCCGACAGGCCCGGGCAAUCUUUGAACGCCGGUCGUGAUGGGGAUAGACUUUUGCAAUUUUUGGUCUUCAACGAGGAAUUCCUAGUAAACGCAAGUCAUCAACUUGCAUUGAUUACGUCCCUGCCCUUUGUACACACCGCCCGUCGCACCUACCGAUUGAAUGGUCCGGUGAAGCCUCCGGAUUGGCGCGCACCUCGGUGCCGCCGAGAAGUUGGCUAAACCUUACCAUUUAGAGGAAGGUGAAGUCGUAACA